rnacentral:rRNA from 1 species
AUGCAUGUCUAAGUAUGAACUAUCUAUUGUGAAACCGCGAAUGGCUCAUUACAACAGCCAUAGUUUACUGGAUAUAUUCCAUUACAUGGAUAACUGUGGUAAUUCUACAGCUAAUACACGCAUCAAAGCCCUGACUUCGGAAAGGGUGCGUUAGUUACUUCAAACUGAUCGGUCUUCGGACUGCCAUCAAGUGAGAUUGAACUAUUUAGCUGAUCGCACGGUCUAAGCACCGGCGACAUAUCCUUCAAAUGUCUGCCUUAUCAACUUUCGAUGGUAGAUUAUGCGCCUACCAUGGUUGUAACGGGUAACGGAGAAUCAGGGUUUGAUUCCGGAGAGGGAGCCUGAGAAAUGGCUACCACAUCCAAGGAAGGCAGCAGGCACGCAAAUUACCCACUCCCGGCACGGGGAGGUAGUGACGAAAAAUAACAAGCUGGUCUCUUUGAGUUCCGGCAUUGUAAUGGGAACAACUUAAAUCAUUUAUCGAGGAUCUAUUGGAGGGCAAGUCUGGUGCCAGCAGCCGCGGUAAUUCCAGCUCCAAUAGCGUAUAUUAAAGUUGUUGCGGUUAAAAAGCUCGUAGUUGGAUCUACGAUCAAGGCUCGUGGUCGUUCUUCUCGAAUGUACUGCGAUGUCUGGUCGAUUUAUCUGGUGAACGAUUGAUGCUCUUCAUUGAGUGUCUCUAGUUGCUGGAACGUUUACCUUGAAAAAAUUGAAGUGCUCAAAGCAGGCUCUUGCCUGAACAUUGCUGCAUGGGAUAAUAGAAUAGGACUUCGGUUCUAUUUUGUUGGUUUCGGAACGCGGAGUAAUGAUUAAUAGGGACAGACGGGGGCAUUCGUAUUGCUGCGUUAGAGGUGAAAUUCUUGGAUCGUAGCAAGACGACCUACUGCGAAAGCAUUGCCAAGA